CACAAGUAACCUAAUAUAUUCUAGAACCUUUGUGAUCAUAAUCAUGGGUUCUUCUUCUCAAAAGUGGGUUGUAGGGUUACUUCUUGUCUUGAGCAUUUUCUUGGAAUUGAGUGCCAUCACUUUUGGUGAUGAUAAGCUUGAAGAGUCAAGGUGGGGUAAUGAUAAUGGGUGUGGACGAUUUGGUAGGAGAGGUUGUGGUGGACGUGGAGGAUGGGGUGGACGCGGAGGACGUGGUGGAUGGGGAGGGCGUGGUGGACGUGGUGGAGGUGCAGGAGGAGGUUUUGGAGGCGGAGCUGGUGGUGGAGUAGGUGGUGGGGGAGGUCUUGGUGGAGGAGCAGGCGGUGGUGGUGGACUAGGUGGAGGAGGAGGAGGAGGUCUUGGGGGAGGAGCGGGAGGUGGACUAGGUGGAGGAGGAGGUCUCGG